rnacentral:tRNA from 1 species
GGGCCUGUAGCUCAAUUGGUUAGAGCGCCGGACUCAUAAUCCGUCGGUUGCAGGUUCAAGUCCUGCCAGGCCCACAA